rnacentral:lncRNA from 1 species
GAUAAGGCGUGCUGGGGAGAGGGCGGAUGGGGCCAGCGAGCUGGAGGAGGAUGAGGGCGGAGCGAGCACGCCACUGCCCAGCAGCAGCCGCCGGCGCCUGUCGCGCUCUGACGCCAGCGGCAGCGAGUUUGAAGCCUCGAGCAACGACGAAGACGCCGGCUCACAGGAGGAGGUUUCCGAGGACGAGAGCCAAGGCAUGGAGUACUCAGG